GGAUGGGUGUCCGAGUGGUUUAAGGAAUCAGUCUUGAAAACUGACGUGCGGGCAACCGUACCGUGGGUUCGAAUCCCACCCCAUCCGCCA
rnacentral:tRNA from 1 species